rnacentral:lncRNA from 10 species
AAACAGCUUUCAUUAACGGCAUGUAGGCACAGGUCCCUUUCCCAAAAGUGGAUUGUUAGUAGUAGUUCAUUCAACCUUUGUUAAGGGGUAGCUUUCCAGAAUGUGACAUUGUCCUCAGAAAGAUAGACAUAGGCUUAAACAUAAUGGACAUCCUAAAUAGGAAUUUUCAGAUUGUUUUUGAAGUGAAAAGUGUUUUAAUGUCUUUAAAUGGAAUUGCAUAACUAAUGGUAUUUAAGUAUUUUACAUGUUGCUAAUAACUUUGAAUAUGAUUGUUGCAAUUUUAUGGAACCUGGGUCUAUGGGACUGCUUUUUAAGCAGUUUAAAAAAGGUUUUCAAAGUUUAAAAGCCAAUCUUAGCAUGUAUAAUCCUUAUGGGAUUCUUAAGUUUUAUCCUAUCUUGUUUUUGCUCAAGAACGCUUUAUCAGUGACGUUUGUUAGAAUUUUGUUUUUUGUUUUUUUUUUUUAAAUUGUUUUUGGGCUAGAAAUGAGUUUCUCUAGUUUUAUUUGUUCUCCCUGAGUUGGAGUUAUGCAAUGAAUGGCAUUUUUGUGGUAAAAUACUAAUCCUAAAAUCUGUUAACUCACUGUUCAUUUAAGUAGGGAAUAUCUGUAUACAUUAAUGACUAGGUAAAACAGGAAAUACAUUUUGAAUAUACAGCCUAAAGGCAGGCAGUUACAGGGUUUUUGAUUUCUCCGAUUUUAUAGGGUGCAAGUUCCCAGUGGCAGGAUGCCCUGCUGUGUGACUGACUACACUGUGUCCUGAGCAGUGGUAAUUUCAAUCACCUCUCAUCAGUUUGGCCAGCCCUACAACCACCAUUCCUAGCCCUGUGUUGCUUGACAGGAUACCUGUGCUUGAAUGGACAUAAGGAAAAGUCCUUACUUUCUCCCCAAUUUACCUCUCAAUCUUAGUUCUUCCAGAACACACUUCCCUUUCACAAUGCAAAUAAACUGAAAGUGAGAUUUGAUACAUGGAAUUUUGAGACCAACCAACUAACCUUACACAUAAUUUGAGGGAUUCCUGGAUUCUUCUAGUGAUACUGAAAAGCACACUUGACUAAAGCAUAGUGUUUUUUGUUUGUUAUGGAAAUACGGUAUACGUUCAUUUAAAAAUAAAUGGACAUACAAAUUGCAUCUCCUUAGGAGAUACAUUUUAUAUACAUUUCGGUGCGUUUUUUUCCAGUAUGGAUUUCUAUUUGUUUCUCUCUUCCUCUUGUUUUUUCUGUGUCACUCUUGUAUGUCCUCAUAUCUUUCAUACCUCUUGUGUAGUCUCUAGAAGCAGAACACCUAAGUCCUGGGUCUGGAUAAUGAAACCCUCAGUCUCUGGGGCCUCUGAAAAUAAGGAAGCAUUGGAGCUAUUGCCAUGUUGAGUAAUGGGCUUCCUAGAACUAUUGUCAUCUAUCCUGCCAGUGUUUUAUGUUGUAGCUGUUUUUCUUUGACAGGUGAGUUCCAGCUAUGUUGUUAGUCAUGAUCCUGCCAUUAUUUUCUGUGUUCUGUAGGAUGUCUCCAGGCUACUUAAACAUAUUUUAUGAGUUUGCAAUAAAAUUGUUGAAUCUUGUAUGAUCAAGUCACUCCUCUGCUCAGAAAUCCACAGUGACUUCUUAGUAAGCCCCUACAUUAUAUGCAUACUUGUUUUUUUCUUAACUUUACUCCCACUUCUACCUAACAGGGACCUCAACUUAAGUCUCUUCAGUUCUUCAAGGCCUGGCCUUGUUCCUGAUUCCUCAAAAAAUCUUGACUCUAAGGCCUAUUUUAUUGUCUGUCUCUGAAUCCCUAUAAAGCUUCAAGUCUGUAUGACAUUCUUAACGCCAAAUUAUAUAUUGUCUUGUACUGUUCCUAGCUGGUACAUGUAUAUUAGUCUUGUCUCCCUCAUGAGAAUGUAAGCUCCUUAAGGGCAGGGACCAUGUCUUAAUUUUUGUAUCCACCACAGUGCCUAGCACAGUGCUUGGCACAUGGGUGCUGAAUAAAUACCUUUGUUUAUUGAUCAGC